AUUGAACGCUGGCGGCAGGCUUAACACAUGCAAGUCGAGCGGAGAUGAGGUGCUUGCACCUUAUCUUAGCGGCGGACGGGUGAGUAAUGCUUAGGAAUCUGCCUAUUAGUGGGGGACAACAUUCCGAAAGGAAUGCUAAUACCGCAUACGUCCUACGGGAGAAAGCAGGGGAUCUUCGGACCUUGCGCUAAUAGAUGAGCCUAAGUCGGAUUAGCUAGUUGGUGGGGUAAAGGCCUACCAAGGCGACGAUCUGUAGCGGGUCUGAGAGGAUGAUCGGCCACCCUGGGACUGAGACACGGCCCAGACUCCAACGGGAGGAAGCAGUGGGGAAUAUUGGACAAUGGGGGGAACCCUGAUCCAGCCAUGCCGCGUGUGUGAAGAAGGCCUUAUGGUUGUAAAGCACUUUAAGCGAGGAGGAGGCUACUGAGACUAAUACUCUUGGAUAGUGGACGUUACUCGCAGAAUAAGCACCGGCUAACUCUGUGCCAGCCGCCGCCGUAACAC
rnacentral:rRNA from 1 species